rnacentral:rRNA from 1 species
CCUACGGGAGGCAGCAGUGGGGAAUAUUGGGCAAUGGGCGCAAGCCUGACCCAGCAACGCCGCGUGAAGGAAGAAGGCUUUCGGGUUGUAAACUUCUUUUGUCAGGGACGAAGCAAGUGACGGUACCUGACGAAUAAGCCACGGCUAACUACGUGCCAGCAGCCGCGGUAAUACGUAGGUGGCAAGCGUUAUCCGGAUUUACUGGGUGUAAAGGGCGUGUAGGCGGGGAAGCAAGUCAGAUGUGAAAACCACGGGCUCAACCUGUGGCCUGCAUUUGAAACUGUUUUUCUUGAGUGCUGGAGAGGCAAUCGGAAUGCCGUGUGUAGCGGUGAAAUGCGGAGAUAUAAGGAGGAACACCAGUGGCGAAGGCGGUCUGCUGGACAGCAACUGACGGUGAGGCGCGAAAGCGUGGGGAGCAAACAGGAUUAGAUACCCUGGUAGUC